rnacentral:rRNA from 1 species
UACGUAGGGUGCGAGCGUUAAUCGGAAUUACUGGGCGUAAAGCGUGCGCAGGCUGUUUUGUAAGUCAGAUGUGAAAUCCCUGGGCUCAACCUAGGAACUGCGUUUGAAACUACAAGGCUAGAGUGUAGCAGAGGGGGGUAGAAUUCCACGUGUAGCAGUGAAAUGCGUAGAGAUGUGGAGGAAUACCAAUGGCGAAGGCAGCCCCCCUGGGUUAACACUGACGCUCAUGCACGAAAGCGUGGGGAGCAAACAGG